UGCACAGUACUGGAAUAUCUCAGCUAGGCUGGGUCCAGGUGACACAGCAACACAGGUCCCAACAAGUCUGAGGACAUAGCAGCAGUGUGGUGUAGCUUUCAGGGGAUAACUGUCUGUGCCUGUUGAGAAUGUAUGAAUUUUCCUCCAAAUUCUUUUAAAAUUAAUCAAGAGCAGUUCCACCCCUUGUGUAUUCAGGUGUGUGUGUCAAGGUACACCCUCCAACAGGAUCCCCAGGGAUUGGGGCUUUCUACACACUACUGAAGAAAUCCACCCCUGGGACAUCUCAAGUUGUGAAUCAUUUACCUCCAGCCCACUACAAUUGUCAGAGGAAGUAUGGAGCAGUCUUGAAGCCCAGCCAAGGAUACCCGACACCUGCAUGUUGUUAGGAACAGGAUCCGUCUAGAGGAGGGUUCCACGCUGAACAUUCCCUGAGGAGAACCGCCAGAACCGGUUUGGUUGUUGGAAGAUUUACUGACUAGGCACAUACAGUCAAAUGUUCUUGCAUGCACACACACAUUAAUAUCCUUGUUUGUAUCAUGGUUGAAUGCAAUGUAUGUUUAUUAAACUUGAAUGGUAUUGAUAGUGGAUAGAUGACUAGGGAUAGUUGACAGAUCACUCGAAUAGACAUGCUGCAGACAGAGAGGAUCUACAGGCGUGUAUCAGCAUGUAACAACACUGUGCAAGUCUCCUGAAGCUGAAAUUCUGCUCACACAGCCCAUAAACAACCAUAAUGCACUUCAGAUCAAGCCAGAGUGUUUUAAUGACCAACAGAGUAAUAUGACAUGCGUGUUCUCAUCACAGACAUAUCAAAUAAAUACACCUAGCUCUUCUUGUUGAUAAGUGUGGAUAAUACCAGCUCUUUCAAAAACCAAUGCAGGCGAGGCCAGUCUUCCAUAGCUAUUUUAUAUCAUAGACAAGGGCCUGCAGUAUCAACUGCGACAUCAUAGACCAGUUACAGUAUAAUACAUGACAUCACAGACCAGGUACAGUACAAUCAGUGACAUCAUAGACCAGGUACAGUACCAUCUGUGACAUCAUAGACAUUGCCUUCAGCACACAGCUUUACACCUAUGAGGUCUAUGUAGGGCCUAGUAAUGGUGAGUUCUACAGAUGUUCACCCAUUCUCUAAUCAUACUGAAGUAUCUUCUCUACGACUCAUGGUGACUGUCAG